AGCGAACUUGGCAGAGAUGCCUUGGUGCCUUCGGGAACGCUGAGACAGGUGCUGCAUGGCUGUCGUCAGCUCGUGUUGUGAAAUGUUGGGUUAAGUCCCGCAACGAGCGCAACCCUUAUCCUUUGUUGCCAGCGAUUCGGUCGGGAACUCAAAGGAGACUGCCGGUGAUAAACCGGAGGAAGGUGGGGAUGACGUCAAGUCAUCAUGGCCCUUACGAGUAGGGCUACACACGUGCUACAAUGGCGCAUACAAAGAGAAGCGACCUCGCGAGAGCAAGCGGACCUCAUAAAGUGCGUCGUAGUCCGGAUCGGAGUCUGCAACUCGACUCCGUGAAGUCGGAAUCGCUAGUAAUCGUGGAUCAGAAUGCCACGGUGAAUACGUUCCCGGGCCUUGUACACACCGCCCGUCACACCAUGGGAGUGGGUUGCAAAGGAAGUAGGUAGCUUAACCCUCGGGAGGGCGCUUACCACUUCGUGAUUCAUGACUGGGGUGAAGUCGUAACAAGGUAAGCGUAGCGAG
rnacentral:rRNA from 1 species